rnacentral:rRNA from 1 species
AAACUUUCAACAACGGAUCUCUUGGCUCUGGCAUCGAUGAAGAACGCAGCGAAAUGCGAUAAGUAAUGUGAAUUGCAGAAUUUAGUGAAUCAUCGAAUCUUUGAAC